rnacentral:rRNA from 1 species
UACGAAGGGGGCUAGCGUUGCUCGGAAUCACUGGGCGUAAAGGGUGCGUAGGCGGCGCGGUAAGUCGGGUGUGAAAUCUCGGGGCUUAACUCCGAAACUGCAUUCGAUACUGCCGUGCUUGAGGACUGGAGAGGAGACUGGAAUUUACGGUGUAGCGGUGAAAUGCGUAGAUAUCGUAAGGAAGACCAGUGGCGAAGGCGGGUCUCUGGACAAGUUCCUGACGCUGAGGCACGAAGGCCAGGGGGAGCAAAACGGG